rnacentral:rRNA from 1 species
GUUAAAAAGCUCGUAGUUGGAUUUCUGUUGAGAAUGGGCGGUCCGCACUACGUGCGUGUAUCUGUUACAGUCUCGGCAUCCUCUUGGAGAACAGUGCUGCUCUUCAUUGCGUGGUCUGGAAUUCAAGACUUUUACUUUGAGGAAAUUAGAGUGUUCACGGCAGGCAAUCGCUUUGAAUACAUUAGCAUGGAAUAAUAAUAUAGGACCUUGGUCCCAUUUUGUUGGUUCCUGGAACUGAGGUAAUGAUUAAUAGGGAUAAUUGGGGGCAUUCGUAUUAACGUGUCAGAGGUGGAAUUCUUGGAUUACGUUACGACGAACUACUGCGAAAGCAUUUGCCAAGGAUGUUUUCAUUGAUCAAGAACGAAAGUUCGGGGAUCGAAGAUGAUUAGAUACCAUCGUAGUCCGAACCAUAAACUAUGCCAACUAGAGAUGGGCGAUCGUUAUUUUAUUGACUUCGUCCGCACCUUAUGAGAAAUCAAAGUCUUUGGGUGCCGGGGGGAGUAUGGUCGCAAGGCUGAAACUUAAAGGAAUUGACGGAAGGGCACCACCAGGAGUG